rnacentral:rRNA from 1 species
UAAACGACUCUCGGCAACGGAUAUCUCGGCUCACGCAUCGAUGAAGAACGUAGCAAAAUGCGAUACUUGGUGUGAAUUGCAGAAUCCCGUGAACCAUCGAGUUUUUGAACGCAAGUUGCGCUCGAAGCCAUUCGGCCGAGGGCACGUCUGCCUGGGCGUCACGC